rnacentral:rRNA from 1 species
AUUGAACGCUGGCGGCAUGCCUUACACAUGCAAGUCGAACGGUAACGGGCCUUCGGGUGCCGACGAGUGGCGAACGGGUGAGUAAUACAUCGGAACGUGCCCGAUCGUGGGGGAUAACGAGGCGAAAGCUUUGCUAAUACCGCAUACGAUCUACGGAUGAAAUCAGGGGACCGCAAGGCCUUGCGCGGACGGAGCGGCCGAUGGCAGAUUAGGUAGUUGGUGGGAUAAAAGCUUACCAAGCCGACGAUCUGUAGCUGGUCUGAGAGGAUGAUCAGCCACACUGGGACUGAGACACGGCCCAGACUCCUACGGGAGGCAGCAGUGGGGAAUUUUGGACAAUGGGCGCAAGCCUGAUCCAGCCAUGCCGCGUGCAGGAUGAAGGCCUUCGGGUUGUAAACUGCUUUUGUACGGAACGAGAAGCCUUCUUCUAAUACAGGAGGGUCAUGACGGUACCGUAAGAAUAAGCACCGGCUAACUACGUGCCAGCCGCCGCCGUAA